AGAUGCCAGGUGCGUUGAACGUUACGUUACGUACUAGGUUGUUUUUUUCCCCCGUAUGUGUAUAGUUUUACAUACUCGAAAUAGCCACAAAAACGGAAUGCAUAAAGUAACGUUGAAGAGAAAAUCUCUUAACACAAACAAUAGUUACUGUAGCGUUUGGUAUCCAGUCAUGACAAUCCUGCCUGGCGAAAAUGAAGAACUACUUCUACGUCACGCCUGUGUCAACAUGUGUGUCAAUCCGAGACCCAAGACAUGAAACGCACUGUCAAAUCAGUUGAUGUUGACAUCGCCAUCUCCAGCCGGCCGCUCCCCCGAGAGCUCGUUAUAGCUGUAACCUACCGGUCCACGGGCUGGGACCGAGACCCACACGUUGAGCAGGAGAACACAGCAGCCGAGCACUGAGGGAAAUGGGGACAUGUGAACAUGGCAGCUGCCAUGCCACAGAAUUUGGCUUGUGGUUGCUGGUGAGCCCUGUGCAACUGUUCCCAUGCAUUUAAUCCACUCUGGGUGCUUGUUUAUUUGGCCCUGGCGCAUUCCUGUGUGACAGACACCGGUGCACAGCCAUCAACACCCGGCUCAAUGUCUUUAUUUCUCACUAACUUUAGAGCAAUGUUUUAUUCAGGCCAGCAGUGGUUUCCAUUCAGGAAGGCCAGCUACCUCACUGCCUUUUUAUUGUUCUCCACCCACUGCAUAACUUCCCUCAAACUUAUUACAACACUGUUUUUUUACGGUUUUGAUUUCCUCAUUCGAACAGUUCAGUCUUGUCCUGGGGUCCGCUGCGCUCAGAGACAAAGUAUUUAAAGCUGAGGCAACGAGCAGCACACUUGUAGAGCAGUGUGAUUAAUUAUUUCCUUUUGCUCUGAGCAAGAGGUAUGGAAGAUCAUUCACACCGGGAAAAUGAACGCAUUUGUCAGGAAUGAUCAACAAUAAAAAUUCUAAUAAAAGUCAAAGUCAAAAUCAUUUAUUUGAACAAUGAUGACUUUCCUAGUCAAAUGUAUGACUUCAUAUCUCUAUAUUACUAGGAAGUGUUUAUGAGGUACUAUCUCCCAAUUUGGACUCCCUUAGUCCUAAUUAGUGUGUGUCGAGCGGGACACUGUUAAAUUGACUACCAUCGGUCGGUACGCGAUGUGCGCUGCCUGCACGAUCCGAUAUGCGAAUGCGCAUAAAUGCGUAGUAGAAAACCUGACGGUUUCCCCACACCAUUUGUAUCACGCAUGCGUUGAAACACUUGACGGGCCAGGCGGCACAACUGGCGGCAUAUUUUUGUAGGCUACAUUCAAUGUUAUUCAUUAUGCAGUUCACGGCCGGUCUGCUUUAUAAAAGAUAUUUAAAUGAAGUACUUAUCGUCACUGGUCCACAACCGCAUAUCGACGUCCGUGUACGACGCCUUGGCGACAUUGUAAUUUUUGUGACGUGUGGUGUGGGGAUGUUGCGAUGUUUUUAAAACGUAGCUCACGCUAUGCAUUGCGAGGUGUUUACGUGGUUGCCAAACCAAAAUAAUAAGGGAGAGGUUACAUGUUACAUGAACAUGAACAUACAGCCGUUUUGGUUACAUGUGGAAUGGAGUCUGAGUCUCUCUGUCACUGCAAACCGUCAGUUUCCUCCACACUCCCCCUUUGCGCUUCAUUGCAAAAGCUGCGCAAGCGUGGAACAGGUGGUGCAGCGCGCGAAACAGGAUUAUCGUCUGCUCAUGCGCGAACAUCUCGCGCAUGUCGGAUCGUGGCAGGCGGCACAGAUCGCGUACCCACACCAUCCAUGGUCAGCAAACCUACCCUGAAUGAA